CCUACGGGUGGCAGCAGUGGGGAAUAUUGGGCAAUGGGCGCAAGCCUGACCCAGCAAAGCCGCGUGAAGGAAGAAGGCUUUCGGGUUGUAAACUUCUUUUGUCAGGGACGAAGCAAGUGACGGUACCUGACGAAUAAGCCACGGCUAACUACGUGCCAGCAGUCGCGGUAAUACGUAGGUCGCAAGCGUUAUCCGGAUUGACUGGGUGUAAAGGUCGUGUAGGCGGGACUGCAAGGCAGAUGUGAAAACCACGGGCUCAACCUGUGUUCUGCAUUUGAAACUGUAGUUCUUGAGUACUGGAGAGGCAGACGGAAUUCCUAGUGUAGCGGUGAAAUGCGUAGAUAUUAGGAGGAACACCAGUGGCGAAGGCGGUCUGCUGGACAGCAACUGACGCUGAGGCGCGAAAGCGUGGGGAGCAAACAGGAUUAGAUACCCUUGUAGUC
rnacentral:rRNA from 1 species